rnacentral:rRNA from 1 species
UACGUAGGUGGCAAGCGUUGUCCGGAUUUACUGGGCGUAAAGAGCGCGCAGGCGGUCGUUCAAGUCGCGUGUGAAAGCCCUCAGCUCAACUGAGGAAGUGCGCCCGAAACUGCAGAGCUUGAGUACCGGAGAGGAUGGCGGAAUUCCCCAAGUAGAGGUGAAAUUCGUAGAUAUGGGGAGGAACACCGGUGGCGAAGGCGGCCAUCUGGACGGAUACUGACGCUGAGACGCGAAAGCGUGGGGAGCAAACAGG